CAGCACUCACUCACUGAAACAGCCAAGGUGGAAAUACUAUGGAGACAUAGGUGUUGAACAGCAUAUUUGAGCCUGAAUCAGAGGAAGAAUCUGAAAUAGAGGAGCAACCAGUCGCCCAUAGAUUGGAAAUGACUACUUCAGAGUGGUUAUUAAAAGAAUGACCCAGGUUCCUGAGGAGCUGACCUGAAUGACCAUUAUGGCCUCAAUCCGUUGUGCCUCUAUAUUCUUUGCAAAAUGCAAUGAAUAUUUACAGAGCUGACCAUGGCCGUUUGAGAAUCAGAGGAAUGGAAAGGCAAUGAAGUGACUUGGCCCACAGGUCUUUUGUGAGCAGGAGCUGGGGUUUCCUUAGAAGAAGCGUCCGUGUCAUGAUCCCCUUGUGUGUGGUGCUACGCAUAGGGAGGUAGCUUCCGGAUACUUCAGGGCAGUACGUUG